rnacentral:rRNA from 1 species
CGCGUAGGCGGUCUUUUAAGUCAGAUGUGAAAGCCCGGGGCUUAACCCCGGAAGUGCAUUUGAAACUAAGGGACUUGAGUAUGGGAGAGGGAAGUGGAAUUCCUGGUGUAGAGGUGAAAUUCGUAGAUACCAGGAGGAACACCGGUGGCGAAGGCGACUUCCUGGACCAAUACUGACGCUGAGGCGCGAAGGCGUGGGGAGCAAACA